GAGGUCUACGCCCCCCAUACCUGUUACAGGAACCUGCUCUUCGUGUACCCACACAGUCUCAAUUUCAGCAGUCGCCAGGGCUCUGUGCGUAACCUGGCCGUGCGCAUCCAGUACAUGGCAGGGGAAGACCAGAGCCAGGCCUUGCCGGUCAUCUUUGGGAAAUCUAGCUGCAGCGAGUUCACCCGAGAGGCCUUCACACCAGUGGUCUAUCAUAACAAGUCUCCUGAAUUCUACGAGGAGUUCAAGCUACGACUUCCUGCCUGCGUGACCGAGAACCAUCACCUCUUUUUUACCUUCUACCAUGUUAGCUGCCAGCCCCGGCCAGGAACAGCCCUGGAGACACCUGUGGGCUUCACUUGGAUUCCUCUGUUACAACAUGGCCGCCUGAGGACUGGCCCCUUCUGCCU
rnacentral:lncRNA from 1 species